CGUCGACGUCUGUUUCUUCGGGAUUGCUGAAUGGAUUUGUUUGGAUUCGACGUCGAGGAGUGAUGGAUGUCACUUUGUCACGAAUUUUCGUCAAGCGUCAAGCAUGAGAUGGAAUGACCUGGAGAUCAAAAACUGCAUGGGACGAAAGCAAAAUGGACAGCAUCUUCAAGAUGGACUGGUGAACACCCUAAGCAAGAAAGACUAAUUACUAAGGCACAAAGCAGAUAAAGGACAUUCCUCUCCAGAUCACAACGAGUACCAACCAGAAACUGAAAAGGCUUGAGGCCAAACGUAUUUAUUUCGCGAUUUUGUUAGACAUUGUAAUCGAAUUUAUUUAGAACUUUUCAACGAGUUAAC